AUGCACGCUGGCGGCGUGCCUCAUCCAUGCCAGUCGAGCGAACGGACGAGAAGCUUGCUUCUCUGAUGUUAGCGGCGGACGGGUGAGUAACACGUGGAUAACCUACCUAUAAGACUGGGAUAACUUCGGGAAACCGGAGCUAAUACCGGAUGAUAUUUUGAACCGCAUGGUUCAAAAGUGAAAGACGGUCUUGCUGUCACUUAUAGAUGGAUCCGCGCUGCAUUAGCUAGUUGGUAAGGUAACGGCUUACCAAGGCAACGAUGCAUAGCCGACCUGAGAGGGUGAUCGGCCACACUGGAACUGAGACACGGUCCAGACUCCUACGGGAGGCAGCAGUAGGGAAUCUUCCGCAAUGGGCGAAAGCCUGACGGAGCAACGCCGCGUGAGUGAUGAAGGUCUUCGGAUCGUAAAACUCUGUUAUUAGGGAAGAACAUAUGUGUAAGUAACUGUGCACAUCUUGACGGUACCUAAUCAGAAAGCCACGGCUAACUACGUG
rnacentral:rRNA from 1 species